AUGACUACGCUCGCGCCGCAGCUCUCUGGCACCGCCGGCGCGAUCACCUCCUCCUCUUCCGCUUCCUUAGCCGCCGGCGUUGCCACCUCCAUCCCCACCACCCUCCCUACCACUUUCAACAACACCAUUACCGUCCGUUUAGAUCGCUCCAACUAUCUCCUGUGGAAAACCCAGGUCGUGCCUGCCAUUGCCGGCCAAGGGUGGUAUGGCUUCCUGGACGGGUCUUGCGCCUGCCCUCCCGCCACCAUCACCACGGGGAGCGGGGACACCGCCACCACGGCGGCCAACCCGGAGUUUGCGCGUUGGUGGUACGCCGACCAGCGUGUCCUCUCGAUCCUUGUCGGAUCGAUGAGCGAGGACAUCCUCGCGCAGAUGGUCGGGCGCACCACGUCGGCUUCGGUCUGGGGCUGCGUCACCGACCUGUUUUCCGCCCAAAAUCGGGCCGGGAUCCGUCAGAUCCGUCGCCAGCUGAUGACAUUAAAGAAGAACGACAUGUCCGCCGCCGACUACUACAGCAAGAUGAAGGGGUUUGCCGACGCCAUGGCAAUGGCGGGCUCCCCCGUCCCCGAUGAUGAACUGAUCGACUACAUCGUUGUUGGCCUCGGAUCCCAAUUCGAGGCACUUCAGCAGGCUCUCGCCGUUCUCGGUGCCGCCAAUGCCUCCCUGUCUCUCUCUGAAUUUUACCCCAUGUUGCUGUCUUGUGAGGCGAUCCAGGUGCAGAACGCCCAGGCCGGCGGAUACUCCUCCUCGGCGAACGCCGCGGCUCGGCAGGGUGACAGCAGCCGCGGUGGAGGCCGCCCUUUCGACAACACCGGGCGCUCUGGUGGUGCCCCUUCGCAUGGCAGCGGUGGCCAACACGGUGGUGGCCACUAUGGCAGCGGCGGCUCCUACAACGGUGGCCAGGAAGCUAACCGCAACACAAACCGCAACGGCGGCGGUGGUACCGGCGGACAAGGCGGCGGCAGUGGUGGUGGCAACCGUCGCUGGCGCCCACGUUGUCAGGUCUGCAAGGCAUGGGGUCAUGAGGCCCUCUCCUGCAAGAAUCGCUACAACGACGCCUUUCAGGCCGAUGGACAGCGCUCCGGCAAUGCGGCCGCCUCCACCCACAGCCACAACGAGCGGGUGCCCCAGACACAGCCGUGGUUUUUCGACACCGGGGCAACCGAUCAUCUCACCAAUGACAUGGACCGGCUAGGCAUCCAUGAACGCUACCACGGGAAGGACCAGGUUCAAACAGCAAACGGCUCAGGACAAGGUAACGAAGAAAAUCCUCCUUCGCGGUAG
rnacentral:rRNA from 1 species